AGCUUCGUGGUGUUUAGCACAUUAGAUUGCAAAUCUGAAAGCGCGGGCUAAUUACCUGCCGGGGCUU
rnacentral:tRNA from 1 species